UACGUAGGGUGCAAGCGUUGUCCGGAAUCAUUGGGCGUAAAGCGCGCGUAGGUGGCUUCGUCAGUCCGUUGUGAAAGUCAAAGGCUCAACCUUUGAAUGCCGAUGGAUACUGCGAAGCUAGAGUACUGAAGAGGCGAGUGGAAUUCCUGGUGUAGCGGUGGAAUGCGCAGAUAUCAGGAGGAACACCAAUAGCGAAGGCAGCUCGCUGGGACGUUACUGACACUAAGGCGCGAAAGCGUGGGGAGCGAACAGG
rnacentral:rRNA from 1 species